AGCAGCUUGCUGCUUUGAGACCGGCGCACGGGUGCGUAACGCGUAUGCAAUCUGCCUUUUGCCGGGGGAUAGCCCGGAGAAAUUCGGAUUAAUACCCCAUAGUAUCUUAGAGCUGCAUGGUUUUGGGAUUAAAGGAUUACGGCAAGAGAUGAGCAUGCGUCCUAUUAGUUAGUUGGGGAGGUAACGGCUCACCAAGACGUCGAUAGGUAGGGGUCCUGAGAGGGAAGUCCCCCACACUGGUACUGAGACACGGACCAGACUCCUACGGGAGGCAGCAGUGAGGAAUAUUAGACAAUGGUCGGAAGACUGAUCUAGCCAUGCCGCGUGCAGGAUGACGGCCUUAUGGGUUGUAAACUGCUUUUAUACGGGAAGAAUAAGGGGUACGCGUACUCUGAUGACGGUACUGUGUGAAUAAGCAUCGGCUAACUCCGUGCCAGCAGCCGCGGUAAUACGGAGGAUGCAAGCGUUAUCCGGAAUCAUUGGGUUUAAAGGGUCUGUAGGCGGAUAUUUAAGUCAGGGGUGAAAGUUUGCCGCUCAACGGUAAAAUUGCCUUUGAUACUGGGUAUCUUGAGUUAUUUGGAAGUGGUUAGAAUGUGUAGUGUAGCGGUGAAAUGCAUGGGUAUUACACAGAAUACCGAUUGCGAAAGGCAGAUCACUACGGAUAUACUGACGCUGAGGGACGAAAGCGUGGGUAGCAAACAGGAUUAGAUACCCUGGUAGUCCACGCUGUAAACGAUGGUCACUAGCUGUUUGAUUUUAGGAUUGAGUGGCCAAGCG
rnacentral:rRNA from 1 species